rnacentral:rRNA from 1 species
GAUGAACGCUAGCGACAGGCUUAACACAUGCAAGUCGAGGGGCAUCACGGUAGCAAUACAUUGGUGGCGACCGGCGCACGGGUGAGUAUCGCGUAUCCAACCUACCUUUAACUUGGGGAUAGCCUUCCGAAAGGGAGAUUAAUACCCGAUAUAAUCUAUUUGAUGCAUAUUUUAUAGAUGAAAGAUUUAUUUUGGUUAUAGAUGGGGAUGCGUUCCAUUAGAUAGUUGGUGAGGUAACGGCUCCCCAAGUCUUCGAUGGAUAGGGGUUCUGAGAGGAAGGUCCCCCACAUUGGAACUGAGACACGGUCCAAACUCCUACGGGAGGCAGCAGUGAGGAAUAUUGGUCAAUGGACGAGAGUCUGAACCAGCCAAGUCGCGUGAAGGAUGACAGCCCUAUGGGUUUUAAACUUCUUUUAUAAGGGAAUAAUUAUUUUUACGUGUAGGGAUUUGCAUGUACCUUAUGAAUAAGCAUCGGCUAACUCCGUGCCAGCAGCCGCGGUAAUACGGAGGAUGCGAGCGUUAUUCGGAUUUAUUGGGUUUAAAGGGUGCGUAGGCGGGUUAUUAAGUCAGUGGUGAAAUUUUGCGGCUCAACCGUAAUCGUGCCAUUGAAACUGGUGAUCUUGAGUGUAAUUGAGGUAUGCGGAAUGUGUUGUGUAGCGGUGAAAUGCUUAGAUAUAACACAGAACUCCGAUUGCGAAGGCAGCAUACUGGCAUACAACUGACGCUGAUGCACGAAAGCGUGGGUAUCAAACAGGAUUAGAUACCCUGGUAGUCCACGCAGUAACGAUGAUAACUCGUUGUUGGCGAUACAUUGUCAGUGACCAAGCGAAAGCGUUAAGUUAUCCACCUGGGGAGUACGCCGGCAACGGUGAAACUCAAAGGAAUGGACGGGGG